rnacentral:rRNA from 1 species
CAGCAGCCACGGUAAUACGAAGGGUGCAAGCGUUACUCGGAAUUACUGGGCGUAAAGCGUGCGUAGGUGGUGGUUUAAGUCCGUUGUGAAAGCCCUGGGCUCAACCUGGGAAUUGCAGUGGAUACUGGGUCACUAGAGUGUGGUAGAGGAUAGUGGAAUUUCCGGUGUAGCAGUGAAAUGCGUUGAGAUCGGAAAGAACACCAACGGCGAAAGCACUCUGCUGGGCCGACACUGACACUGAGAGACGAAAGCUAGGGGAGCAAAUGGGAUUAGAGACCCGUGUAGUCCCUGUCUCUUAUAC